ACUGUUUACCAAAAACAUAGCCCUCGGCUAAUAUGAAAAUAGAUGUAUAGAGGGUGAUGCCUGCCCAAUGGUUGUAUCUAAAAGCGGUUGAUAAAAGUCGACCUCGUAAGGACAAUUGAAUGGCCGCGGUAACACUGACCGUGAUAAUGUAGCGUAAUCAAUAGCCAAUUAAUUGUUGGCCAGUAUGAAUGGCGCCACGAAGGCCCCACUGUCUUAAGGAAAUUCCCAGUGAAAUUGAAUUCGUAGUGAAGAUGCUACGUCCAAUUUGUUAGACGAAAAGACCCCGUUGAGCUUUACUGGAGCACUUACAUGGCCCCGGCCUUCCCAUGCCUGGGAAUCGGCCGAAUUUAAAUGGGCGGCUUAGAUUAUGUGGCAGCCCCCCGCUGGGGCAAAUGAAACACCACUCCCCCAUGUCAAAGGGGCUAACCCCCCCCCCUUGGGGGGGAC
rnacentral:rRNA from 1 species